AGAAGAUCCAAUGCCAAUUUUAUGUGCAAAUCUACCCAUCAACAUCCCAUUUUGAGAUUGCUGCCUCACUUGUAUUUACUAGGUGAAUUUUUAUUGUAGGCUUUUCAUUGGACUUCAUGUCCUUAUUUGGUACAUAGAUGCUAAUUUCCUAACUUCUUGAAAAGAGAUACUUGUUGAGAAAAUUUUAUUCUAUAAAGUUACUAUUUAUAGUGUUGGCUUAUUCAUUCACCUUCCCUAGGGAGCAGUACUUGAUUCCUUAAUGAAUUUCAUUUGUGUCCAACUCUAUGUAUGAGUGAUUGAUCAUAAUUACUAUUGGUUCAUACAAAGUUUGUCCCAAUCUUGGAUGAAGAUCUAGCAUAAAAUUGUCACAUCUAUGUGAUAUGAGUUCAGACUACCUAAAACUAAGUAGAAUGAAGAAUCCUGACUAGAUUGAGAUUAAAGGUUAGUUGAACUGAGCCAUUUUUGGCCCGAAAAACUUCUUUUUAGACAUAUAGUUUAUAAUAAUACUCUCAUCUCAACAUAUGGUUUCCUUUUGUAAGUUUGAAGGUUAAUUUCGUUAACCUGUUCUUUCAUCUAUUCUAAAAGUUUGAACUUACUAACUUUGCUUCUUCCCCCUUGUAGGUUAUUUGUUGAAAAAUAAGGAAGUUGAGUGAUCAAAAUGGAAGUCCAGUGUUUUCACUUUUGCACUUCUUGCCAGAGAGAAAGAGAGCUUCUAUGGCUAUUUCCUAGAGUUCAAUUUGUUGAGCUUUCUAUACAAAUGUUCACAUGCUUAGUACUGUCUUUUUCUUCCUGUUUUGUGUGUAACCUUUUUCUGUUAUGCACUGUAUCUUCAUAUGUUAAAACAACAAUCAUUCUGCGUGAUUUUACUGUUGGUAUUAGAGCAAUCCGGCUGAGGCACUACCGUGGCAAUGGUUGUUUGAAAUAACUGUUGUCAUUGACUGAAGUUUUAUGUUUGAGCAGUACCACCUGAUUCUGUAAUUAUGCAUUCAAAUGAAAUUAAUUUCUGUAGUUUCUGUCCAUUCAGUACUAGAGCAGACAUUUGAAUCUAAUAUUUAAGAUUUUUCUCAGCAAAGCAUUUCUGGUGUAUACAUAUAAUGCGGCACUUAUACCUUGAUGUCUUGUUUGUACGCUUGGAAUAGAAAGAUUAAUAUAUGUACAUAUUUCCUACCAUGCAGCUUGCAGAGGCUGCUAAAU
rnacentral:misc_RNA from 1 species